rnacentral:piRNA from 1 species
UAGCUGAUUUUGGCACGAGAAGACUCAG